UACGUAGGGGGCAAGCGUUGUCCGGAUUUAUUGGGCGUAAAGAGCGUGUAGGCGGCCAGGUAGGUCAGCUGUGAAAACUCGAGGCUCAACCUCGAGACGCCGGUUGAAACCAUCUGGCUAGAGUCCGGAAGAGGAGAGUGGAAUUCCUGGUGUAGCGGUGAAAUGCGCAGAUAUCAGGAAGAACACCCGUGGCGAAGGCGGCUCUCUGAACGCAACUGACGCUGAGACGCGAAAGCGUGGGGAGCGAAA
rnacentral:rRNA from 1 species